rnacentral:lncRNA from 1 species
UACUUGAAUGACAUUUAAAUCUGAUUUUGCUAAGAAAUGUAUGAAUUAAAAGUUGGAUUACUUACUUGAUGACAGAGAGGGAUAAACAGAUUCACAUAUCUCUUCGUAUUCUUAUGAUUUCAAGGGAACUUGAAGAGGUCCCUAACACAUCCUUGUGACCAACCUGUGGAAAGAAAUGGAUGAAGAUGGCAUAGCAUAGACAGGCAUGGAUGAAUUGCAAUCCAUAUCAUUGGGAAGGUUAGAAGGAAGAUGCUAUAAUUAUUCCAUAAACUUCACCAGACUGCUAAAGGAUUUCUUAAGGCAAAAAAGAUGAAGAACCUCUCAUAGUUAUCAAUGUCCAAUGGCAAGACAAAAAUGACUGAUGAUGGCUCAGGAUGCAGUGGAUGACUUUUGCUUCUUCAAUAUAUAACUAAGCUCUAACCAAUUCACACCACAUGCUUCAGAUAUUUUCAUUGCCUUUGGAAUAAAUUGUUCUCAUCUACCCUUUUUUGCUGGGAG